UACUCACAACGCUGCCGCCGCGCUCCGUGGGCAACUCCUACUACUGCUGGGCUGGGCUGGGCUGGGCUGGGCUGCGCCGGAGCUCGCCUGCACAGAUCAGCUCCGGAGAGGGGAAAACCACGCUCCUCGGACCAAGCCUCGGGAGCUAAGCCAGAUCUGCCAGUGAGCCUCAGGCUUUAGGAACUGAAGAGGUAAGAAUUCCAAAAUAUUUUCUUCUAGAAUCUUGAAUUUAACCAGAACUUAAAGAGGAAAAAAAAUGUUAAGUGGUCUAUAGAUGAAAGCAUGUGAUGUUUUAUUGAAAGAAACAGUCAUAGAGUCCUUAUCAAUAUUGACAUGACUUCAGAAUUUAAAGAAAAAAUGGCUGUCUUUAAUGAUAGUUAAAAUUGAUUUUCAUCCAGAAUUUUUUCAUUUUCUUCUAAAAACCUGAGUUGGAGAGCCUUUGAGGCUGCUGUCUUAACAGAAUGUAUCCUCACGGCACAAACAUGAUUAAUAGGUGGCAGACAUUGAGGGCAUACCCUGUGCAAGAUAAAGCCUCAGAUGAGGCUGAUUAGGUCAGGGAAAGGUAAACCCUGUUCUUA
rnacentral:lncRNA from 1 species